CGGGCUAUUAAGUCAGAUGUGAAAGCCCGGGGCUCAACUCCGGAAUAGCAUUUGAAACUGGUAGCCUAGAGGCCAGGAGAGGUUAGCGGAAUACCGAGUGUAGAGGUGAAAUUCGUAGAUAUUCGGUGGAACACCAGUGGCGAAGGCGGCUAACUGGACUGGUACUGACGCUGAGGCGCGAAAGUGUGGGGAGCAAACAGGAUUAGAUACCCUGGUAGUCCACACCGUAAACGAUGAAUGCUAGUUGUCUGCACGCAUGCGUGCAGGUGACGCAGCUAACGCAUUAAGCAUUCCGCCUGGGGAGUACGGCCGCAAGGUUAAAACUCAAAGAAAUUGACGGGGGCCCGCACAAGCGGUGGAGCAUGUGGUUUAAUUCGAAGCAACGCGCAGAACCUUACCCGCGUUUGACAUGCCCUGUUUGGUUACCAGAGAUGGUUUCCUUCAUUUAGUUGGCAGGUGCACAGGUGCUGCAUGGCUGUCGUCAGCUCGUGUCGUGAGAUGUUGAGUUAAGUCCCGCAACGAGCGCAACCCUUAUUCUUAGUUGCCAGCACGUCUGGGUGGGCACUCUAAGGAAACUGCCGGUGCUAAGCCGGAGGAAGGCGGGGAUGACGUCAAGUCCUCAUGGCCCUUACACGCGGGGCUACACACGUGCUACAAUGGCGGUGACAGUGGGAUAAUCCCAAAAAACCGUCUCAGUUCAGAUUGUCCUCUGCAACUCGAGGGCAUGAAGUUGGAA
rnacentral:rRNA from 1 species